rnacentral:sRNA from 1 species
CCGCCCGUCAUUGGGGAGUAGCCGCCUUCCAUCGCGAGAAGGGCCCGCGUCAACAGACUUGUCCUGCCCCACACAGGACAUGGCGCGUGCAGUGAACACACCUGGCGAGACCUUUGACCGUGCAACUUCGGGAAUAUGGCCGAAGGUGUUGCACGGUCAAUUGCGUCCUUCGGCCCA